rnacentral:rRNA from 1 species
GAUGAACGCUGGCGGCGUGCCUAAUACAUGCAAGUCGAGCGAACAGACGAGGAGCUUGCUCCUUUGACGUUAGCGGCGGACGGGUGAGUAACACGUGGGUAACCUACCUAUAAGACUGGGAUAACUUCGGGAAACCGGAGCUAAUACCGGAUAAUAUGUCGAACCGCAUGGUUCGAUAGUGAAAGAUGGCUCUGCUAUCACUUAUAGAUGGACCUGCGCCGUAUUAGCUAGUUGGUAAGGUAACGGCUUACCAAGGCAACGAUACGUAGCCGACCUGAGAGGGUGAUCGGCCACACUGGAACUGAGACACGGUCCAGACUCCUACGGGAGGCAGCAGUAGGGAAUCUUCCGCAAUGGGCGAAAGCCUGACGGAGCAACGCCGCGUGAGUGAUGAAGGUCUUCGGAUCGUAAAACUCUGUUAUUAGGGAAGAACAAAAGUGUAAGUAACUGUGCACGUCUUGACGGUACCUAAUCAGAAAGCCACGGCUAACUACGUG